AUUGAACGCUAGCGGGAUGCUUUACACAUGCAAGUCGAACGGCAGCGCGGACUUCGGUCUGGCGGCGAGUGGCGAACGGGUGAGUAAUGUAUCGGAACGUGCCCAGUAGCGGGGGAUAACUACGCGAAAGCGUAGCUAAUACCGCAUACGCCCUACGGGGGAAAGCAGGGGAUCGUAAGACCUUGCACUAUUUGAGCGGCCGAUAUCGGAUUAGCUAGUUGGUGAGGUAACGGCUCACCAAGGCGACGAUCCGUAGCUGGUUUGAGAGGGCGACCAGCCACACUGGGACUGAGACACGGCCCAGACUCCUACGGGAGGCAGCAGUGGGGAAUUUUGGACAAAGGGGGCAACCCUGAUCCAGCCAUCCCGCGUGUGCGAUGAAGGCCUUCGGGUUGUAAAGCACUUUUGGCAGGAAAGAAACGGCGCGGGCUAAUACCCCGUGGAACUGACGGUACCUGCAGAAUAAGCACCGGCUAACUACGUG
rnacentral:rRNA from 1 species